rnacentral:tRNA from 2 species
CGGGGCGUGGCGCAGCCUGGUAGCGCACCUGCUUUGGGAGCAGGAUGUCGGAGGUUCAAAUCCUCUCGCCCCGACCA